AAACCUGAGCCGGGCUGGGCCGCAGAGAAAUGGCCUGGGCGGCUGUUUACUAAAAACACACGUCUCUGCCAAGUCGUAAGACGACGUAUAGGGACUGACACCUGCCCGGUGCUGGAGCGUUAAGGGGAGAGGUCAGAAUACGCCUAACCGUGUAUUCGAAGCUUUGAACCGAAGCCCCAGUAAACGGCGGCCGUAACUAUAACGGUCCUAAGGUAGCGAAAUUCCUUGUCGGGUAAGUUCCGACCCGCACGAAUGGUGUAACGAUUUGGGCACUGUCUCAACCCGGGGCUCGGCGAAAUUGCAGUAGCGGUGAAGAUACCGUUUUCCCGUGGAAGGACAGAAAGACCCCGUGGACCUUUACUGCAGCUUGAUAUUGGGUUCCGCCGUGGCGUGUGUAGGAUAGGCGGGAGACUUUGAAGCCUGGUCGCCAGAUCAGGUGGAGUCAACGUUGAAAUACCGUCCUCGUUUCGUUGGAACUCUAACACGGGUCCGUGAUCCGGAUCGUGGACAGUGUCUGGUGGGCAGUUUGACUGGGGUGGUCGCCUCCCAAAAAGUAACGGAGGCGCCCAAAGGUUCCCUCAGCGCGGUCGGUAAUCGCGCGUCGAGUGCAAAGGCACAAGGGAGCUUGACUGCGAGACGGACAGGUCGAGCAGGUACGAAAGUAGGGCUUAGUGAUCCUGCGGUCCCGAGUGGAAGGGCCGUGGCUCAACGGAUAAAAGGUACCCCGGGGAUAACAGGCUGAUCGCCACCGAGAGUUCACAUCGACGUGGCGGUUUGGCACCUCGAUGUCGGCUCAAUGCAUCCUGGGGCUGAACAAGGUCCCAAGGGUUCGGCUGUUCGCCGAUUAAAGCGUUACGCGAGCUGGGUUUAGAACGUCGUGAGACAGUUCGGUCUCUAUCCUCCACGGGUGUAGGAAGCUUGAGGGGUUCUGUCUUCAGUACGAGAGGACCGAGACGGACGCACCUCUAGUGUACCAGUUGUCCCGCCAGGGGCACCGCUGGGUAGCUACGUGCGGACCAGGAUAAGCGCUGAAAGCAUCUAAGUGCGAAACCGGCCCCAAAACUAGGCUUCCCGACCGAAAGGUCCUCAAGGCCACUCGGAGAUUACGAGUUUGAUAGGCCGCAGGUGUAAGCACAGUAAUGUGUUCAGCCGAGCGGUACUAAUCGGCCGUGCGGCUUCAUUAC
rnacentral:rRNA from 1 species